rnacentral:rRNA from 1 species
GACGAACGCUGGCGGCGUGCUUAACACAUGCAAGUCGAACGGAAAGGCCCUGCUCUUGUGGGGUGCUCGAGUGGCGAACGGGUGAGUAACACGUGAGUAACCUGCCCUUGACUUUGGGAUAACUUCAGGAAACUGGGGCUAAUACCGGAUAGGAGCUCCUGCUGCAUGGUGGGGGUUGGAAAGUUUCGGCGGUUGGGGAUGGACUCGCGGCUUAUCAGCUUGUUGGUGGGGUAGUGGCUUACCAAGGCUUUGACGGGUAUCCGGCCUGAGAGGGUGACCGGCCACAUUGGGACUGAGAUACGGCCCAGACUCCUACGGGAGGCAGCAGUGGGGAAUAUUGCACAAUGGGCGGAAGCAUGAUGCAGCAACGCCGCGUGCGGGAUGACGGCCUUCGGGUUGUAAACCGCUUUCGCCUGUGACGAAGCGUGAGUGACGGUAAUGGGUAAAGAAGCACCGGCUAACUACGUG